rnacentral:lncRNA from 1 species
AGUUUUUGUUAAAAAGAAGAAGAACAAGUACGUAAGUAGUUUCAUAAAUCAAGAAUUUAAUCACUUGAUUGCAGACUUUACUUAGAACUUUACUUUAAUUAAAACAUUAAAUUGUGUCAAUAAAUCUGCUCCGGCAUGUGUUGAGUGUGAAAGCUAAAUUGAAGCAUGCAACAACUACUUAGCAAGUCGCAACCCUACAAUUCUACAAAAAGAAUGGGCGCAACACAAGCAAAAGACAAAUUUAGAAGCUUGAAAAAACACACACACAAAAAGAAAGUCAUGAAAGCAAAAGCAACAUUCCAGCGCACUGUCAAAUUGGGUCAAAAGUGCAUAGGCAUAGCAGACGCAGCAAACACUCCAAGCAGCGCAUAGCUGGAAAGCGACACACGAACACACACACUUUUGCCUUGCAUAGGAAGAAAGGACAUAAUAGGAUGGCAAAAGAAAGGAAUUCAAGUAGAGUGGCAGUUGAGCUACAGCAAAGGCGAGCAGAUAGCAGCAGCCACAGCUGAAUGCAUGCGUAGAGACGCAAAGUGAAGAAUCAACAGCAGAAGCAACAAAGAAAAAACAAUGCGAUUUGGGUCGUCUUGCAAUGCCUUUGCUGCGCCGUGCCGUCUUAAGUGCAGCUGGCGAGGACAAACACCAGCAGCAGGCGACAGAAACAAAGACAAAUGGCGGCGACAACGGCAAUAUGGACAAUAGAGUAGUGGCAAGAACAAAAACAACAAAAACAAACAGCGCGAGCCAACAACAAUAAGACUGCAGUUAGCACAAAAAGCGUUUGCGAUGCGGCAACUAACUUCUCAUUGCAUUCUGUGUGCCUUAUAGAAAAGUCAUCGCCUUACAAUAAUUUUCGAAUAUCAGCGGAAGUUCUAUCAACACGUCGUUAUGUGUGAAAUGCUGGAAAAAAAAACUUUGGAAAAUAUUUUAUGAACUCUUACAACUAAUUCUUAUGUAAUAAAAGAUUUCUACAAAAUU